rnacentral:rRNA from 1 species
CCUACGGGAGGCAGCAGUGGGGAAUAUUGCACAAUGGGCGAAAGCCUGAUGCAGCGACGCCGCGUGAGGGAUGACGGCCUUCGGGUUGUAAACCUCUUUCAGCAGGGAAGAAGCGAAAGUGACGGUACCUGCAGAAGAAGCGCCGGCUAACUACGUGCCAGCAGCCGCGGUAAUACGUAGGGCGCAAGCGUUGUCCGGAAUUAUUGGGCGUAAAGAGCUCGUAGGCGGCUUGUCACGUCGGAUGUGAAAGCCCGGGGCUUAACCCCGGGUCUGCAUUCGAUACGGGCUAGCUAGAGUGUGGUAGGGGAGAUCGGAAUUCCUGGUGUAGCGGUGAAAUGCGCAGAUAUCAGGAGGAACACCGGUGGCGAAGGCGGAUCUCUGGGCCAUUACUGACGCUGAGGAGCGAAAGCGUGGGGAGCGAACAGGAUUAGAUACCCUGGUAGUCCACGCCGUAAACGUUGGGAACUAGGUGUUGGCGACAUUCCACGUCGUCGGUGCCGCAGCUAACGCAUUAAGUUCCCCGCCUGGGGAGGUACGGCCGCGAGACGUAAACUAACAAGAAGUAGACGGCGNGAGACGNGCCGACGACGACACGAGGGAGGAGG